AUACGUAGGGGACAAGCGUUAUCCGGAUUUACUGGGUGUAAAGGGAGCGUAGGCGGCCAGCCAAGUCAGAAGUGAAAUCCCACGGCUCAACUGUGGGCGUGCUUUUGAAACUGGAGGGCUUGAGUACUGGAGGGGCAAGCGGAAUUCCUGGUGUAGCGGUGAAAUGCAUAGAUAUCAGGAAGAACACCGGAGGCGAAGGCGGCUUGCUGGACAGAGACUGACGCUGAGGCUCGAAGGCGUGGGGAGCAAACAGGAUUAGAUACCCUGGUAGUCCACGCGGUAAACGAUGAAUGCUAGGUAUUGGAUUCCGUAGGGAUUCGGUGCCGCAGUUAACGCAAUAAGCAUUCCACCUGGGGAGUACGUUCGCAAGAAUGAAACUCAAAUGAAUUGACGGGG
rnacentral:rRNA from 1 species